rnacentral:misc_RNA from 1 species
AUGAUGACUAUCGAUAUAAGUAAUCGUCGAGAAAAGUACCAUCGAUGGUUUGCGUUCACCGUAACCGUAGCGGGAGCAGUUGUCAGUGAGUGUCGCGCAGCGCGAGUGGGAUGUACAUGUCAGCGUGAUGGGCGGGCGAUGUCGCGGGUGUGCGCCCCCCAUUCCGGUCUGACCCCGCCGGAACACCGCAAGUGGCGGAGACUGCACGGCCUCCAGCUGCCCUUGCACCCCCAGCAGGUCGCGGGCUGGCUGACCCUCUUCGUCUUCGCCGCCGCCGUCUUCUUCGUCCUGGUCCCGGCCCUGGGAGAUCCCCUUAGACCCCUGGCCUUCUCCGUGCUCGCCGGCCUGUUCUCCCUUCAUCUGGUAUCGCACCUGACCGCGCUGCUGCUGGACCCGGCCGACGCCCCCCUGCGGAAACUCAAAGUCUCCACCCUCGUUCCGGAGUUCGACCGCACCAAACACGCCCACGUCAUCGAGAACGGGCGGUGUCACCUGUGCAACAUCAAGACCUCGGGGUCCAGGACAAAACACUGUAGCGUGUGCAACAAAUGUGUGGGCAGAUUCGACCAUCACUGUAAAUGGCUGAACCACUGUAUCGGGGGAAGGAACUAUGUCGCAUUCCUCGUGUGUGUGGUGUCCGCGGUGGCUGCGAGCGCCGUCAUCGUCGGGGUCGCGGUGGCCGAGCUGGUACUGUACCAUGUGGACCGCUCCUGGCUCAAUCUCCCGGGCCGACCGGUCCCCAGAAGCUCCACCUUCGACCCAGCUGACCUUCAGCUGGAGCUUCACGACCAGGUCUUCCUCUUCAUCGUCGGUUCCAUCGGCGUUCUCGCCGCCAUCACUGCCGGUCUCCUCCUCCACCUCUGUCUCUUCCACGUGUACAUAUCCAUCCUGGGCAUCACCACAUACGAGUAUAUCCGUAGUUACCGCCAGCUAUCCACCGGAGCGACGGCCAGCACCCUACCGUCGGCCAGUCAGAGCGAAGCUGAGUCAAUUAAGAAGCUCGGGAGUCGCCCGCCGUCACGAAGACUCUCGCGCGAUUCCGUUCUCAAAAACAGUGAUUCCAAUUGUUCUUUUAGAGAAACCGAAAGCAAUAAGUCUGUAGAUUUCCGCCCGAAAGGUGACAUCAUCCAUCCCGUUAUAGUUAGGUCUAGUGGUAAAUGUAGAUGGAGCGUUUGCUGUAGUCAGAAACGCGAAUUAAACCUAGAGUCGACUAGAGAAAAAGACAUUUCACCAGGAACUUACUCUUUCCAGAGGGGCUCCCCGCUGGAAAAACGGUGCUCGGUGGAGACUGUGGAGACCGCGUCCAGAAGGCAUUACUGUUGUCCGUCCAAGAAACAGCGAGAACAGAGACCGUCCAAGAAGACAGUGGAAUCCAGAGGGUCUUGUCGGGGUUGUCGGUACUGCAAGGGUGACGUAGAGACUCCGGCCGUGAAGAAGACUAUCGCCCCAAGGACCAGACGGCCCCAGAGACUGUCCACCGUGGCCGUGAGGAGGUUCUUGACUAGAUUGAUCACCAGAGGGCCCGAGGUCGCAACCUCCCCUGUGAGGAGGAACCAAGUGAGACCCUCCGUUCCGGAGAAGACUCAAUCCAUCAGUUUCUCCGCGGACGUGUCUCCCUCAUCAGAGACCGUUCCCAAGCAGCCGGAGAGGAGCGCGUCUCUGCCCGCUUUACCACCCCCUACCAGAAGACAGAUCCAGACCGUGUCCUUGAAGGAACUGGGGGAGGUCCUGGCCUAUGUCCAGCAGCCACGAAAACCGUCCCUGCGCCGCCACCCUCUUCGCCGCAAGAGCAUCCCGACUCUGAGACCCACCAUGUCGCCAACUCUGUCGCCCAUCCACGAGUCCGGGUUGUCCAACCCUUCUACCCCUCAGAUGACCGACAGGGCGCCCCGGCCCCGGCCUGCCAGCUGGCUCGCCAUGGACUCCUACAUAUAGUAGCCUUAUCAGUAUCAUGUAGCCUUUACGGACAAUAACGCCAGAAUUGUGUUCAUUUCGCAGUGUACGGAAUAGUUUUACUUGGUGAGUACGAGGCACAACACCUGUGGUAUGUUACAAUCUAUGAAAUAUAGCAGAUAGGGUGUGUAGCAAUAACGCCAGUACUUGUUAUAUUUGAACAUAGUUGGUGAAAAUAAAUGUUUAAUGAAUUACUGUUUCGAUUUUAUUCAUAAGAAAGUGCUCAACGAGAUCUAUCUUUAAAUUGAUCUUUUUAUAUCUUCCCCAUCUUUCUUCCAUAUCUGUGGAAAAUUGAAGUAAGCGAGGAUUGCAGUAUGACUCCAAUAGUUUCGAAUUAAAAUUUAAUAUUGUUUAGACAAUGUCUUUUCUUAAAACGGUGAAAGUAAUUAAAAUUGUAUUGCAAAUUUUGAGAACGCUUUUUGAGAUAACCACGCUUUUUGCAUAAAAACUACGACUUUUUAAAGUCAAACAAAUCUCAUACAUGCGUUUAAUAUCUCAAAA